rnacentral:rRNA from 1 species
UGGGGAAUAUUGGACAAUGGGGGAACCCUGAUCCAGCCAUGCCGCGUGUGUGAAGAAGGCCUUAUGGUUGUAAAGCACUUUAAGCGAGGAGGAGGCUCUUUUGGUUAAUACCCAAGAUGAGUGGACGUUACUCGCAGAAUAAGCACCGGCUAACUCUGUGCCAGCAGCCGCGGUAAAUACAGAGGGUGCGAGCGUUAAUCGGAUUUACUGGGCGUAAAGCGUGCGUAGGCGGCUUUUUAAGUCGGAUGUGAAAUCCCCGAGCUUAACUUGGGAAUUGCAUUCGAUACUGGGAAGCUAGAGUAUGGGAGAGGAUGGUAGAAUUCCAGGUGUAGCGGUGAAAAUGCGUAGAGAUCUGGAGGAAUACCGAUGGCGAAGGCAGCCAUCUGGCCUAAUACUGACGCUGAGGUACGAAAGCAUGGGGAGCAAACA